rnacentral:lncRNA from 1 species
AAUAGAGAAGGGUGAAGGAUGGAUGGAAAUGAGGAGAAGAAAAGAUUUUAGGGGUGAUUGUCUCAGAUUUUGGAGAUUAGGACUUGAGAUUUUGAUGGAGAGCAAGAGAAAGAUGGUUUUGAUCAAGGAUAUGCUGAAAGAAUGUGUUUGCUUAAGAAUUUGAGGUAGAAAUUCAAGAUUUUUGGAUAGAUUUGUGGCCGGUGG